UGGGCACUCUGGGGAGACUGCCAGGGACAACCUGGAGGAAGGUGGGGAUGACGUCAAAUCAUCAUGCCCCUUAUGACCUGGGCUACACACGUGCUACAAUGGCGUAAACAAAGGGAAGCGAGCCCGCGAGGUUGAGCAAAUCCCAAAAAUAACGUCCCAGUUCGGAUUGUAGUCUGCAACUCGACUACAUGAAGCUGGAAUC
rnacentral:rRNA from 1 species